ensembl:lncRNA
GCCUCUUCCGCCUCCUGAGGGGGAGGUGAUGCAGGCGCAGCCGGGCCUUGAUCGUCUUGGCAAGUGGGGGUUGAGGCUGCGUGAGGAGGGGAGGCGUGGUGGGUUUCUGAGCACCGCUGAGGGGAGGGACAGCGGGUCUGCCGGUACCAGGGUGUGCAGGGCACGGAGACGGGGUGAGGAAGCAGACCCGCCACUUAUGGUGGAGACUGGCUGCUGGGAGUUGGGGUCGAGGACCACACAGGCCCUCUGAAGCUGCGCAUGCUCCCUGCGGGUGCUCCCAAACAUGCUUCUGGGGGCCUGCCUGACGUCCAGGGGCUAAGACCUCGCCUUCCUAUGCAGGGGGUAUGGGUUCCACCCUUGGUCAGGGAGCUGAGAUCCCACAUGCCUGGAGGCCAGAAAACAACAACAUUAACAGAAGUGGUGAUAUUGUAGCAAAUUCAAUAAAGACCUUAAAAAACAAACAAAGCCCCCAUACUUCAGUUUCCAAGUCUUCCUCACAGUGGGGAUGAUGCAGCCUUCCCACAUCAGGGCAGCUCGCUCUCCACAACUGCCAGAGUUGGAAGCAACCUCCUCACUCCUUCCAGACAGUACAUGACUGCCCCGGGCUCCUCUUUCAGAAUGUGCUGUGAAUCACUCUGGACUUAGGAGUCUGAAUUCUGGGGAAAUUUACUAGCGUGUGGGAGAAACACAGGUUCGAAUAAAAGGAGAAAUUAGAUUUCCUUUGCAGUUUGGAGGGUAAGCUCAGUAAUCACCAAGAGACAAUGAGAAAAGCUGACCUCAUCAGGAGAGCCGGUGUGGGGCAGAAAAUUAGAUCAGAUACAGUUAUGGGGCGAUCAGAACACAGAUUUCAUUCUCCUUGUCUUUCAUCACAGAGGGGAAAGCACUCAAAGGGCUUUAAAUUAAAAUCAAUUCCUGUUAAGUCUUCGGCUAAUUUGGUUUGCAAUCUCUUUCAGCCUGGAUGGAGGUGCAGGAAAGAGAGGCCAUCUUAGUUCGUGACCUAGACAUGUCCUUGGAAGCAACCUUGUCCCACCUCCCUCAGUGUGUGUGUGUGUGGCGGGGGUGGGGGGGUGGUGUGCGGUGCGGCUUUACUGGGAAGGACCUGUCACCUCUGCCUAGGGCAGCCCGGGACCCUUGUGUGCCUUCCAGGCCCUGGUUGCCUGAGCAGCGUCUGCUCCCACCCAGCUGAUGCAAACUCUUUGUAUGAAUUCUGCCUCUUAGUGGAUGCCCACUAACGGACAGGUGACCUGUCUGGUCUGUCCAGCAUCCUCUGAGGGAGCGUAAGGAAGCAGAAGCCCAGAGGAGGACAGUGACUUGAGGUGGCUUCCGCAUGGGUUCCUCGACACCCCACCCCACCCCCAAUGGCUGCUCACCCGUGGACGGGGGCCCCUCCUGGAACCGAACCCUGGUGCUGGAGAAGUGAAAGUGUGGGGAACUCGGCGCUGGGCCCUCACACCUGAUCCUUGGCCGUGGCUGGCCCCGCGACUCCUGCCUCUGCUCCUGCCGAACCCAGUCUCCCUGUGACCUCAGGUCACCUCCGUCCAUCAGCAUCAGACCCGAGUGGGUCCCCACCGUGAGGCUCUGCAGCACAGCCCUGGUUCUCGCUUCCUCCCAGCGUCCAUCUCACUCAGGGCUCAUCCAGCCUGCCCCUCGCAGUGUCUCCCAUCCAGGCCGCCGCCGGCGGGGCCAGACUCAUGCACUUCCGUGGGUCCCUCCUGGACCCAAGCCCAGUUCUGGGGCGUGGGAACGAGGCACCGCCACAGGGCGCGUCUGGGCACGGUGUGGGCCUGGGGUCAGAAGGAGCUGUGGGGCCUCGGUCAAGACCACUGAGAACGCCCAGACGUUGGCAGCAGCGGGGGUCCUCCCGGGGGCAGCCAAGCAACCACACAGGAGACGAGCCGUGGACGCUCAGCUGCAGGGGGCCUUCUGCCUCGCACUGGGGCCCGACUCGGGGCCUCCCUCCCAGCCCGCAUCCUGGCAGAGGCCCCCCGGCACCCCGCCCACCUUCUUGGGACGCUUUCAUUUCUUAUACAUCCCACACCACUCGGGUCACUGACUCACCCAAGUGCUGUUAGCUGCUAAUUAAUCAAAUCUUUGAUGAGCUGUAUUUCUUACCUUAAUUAAAAUAAUGAUGAUUAAUGGAGUGGGGGGCAUCUAGCUCUGCAGUUAUCCCGGACAGUUCUACGGAGCUCACGCCCAGUUCUGGGGCAAGCCCAGGCUGAGUGGGCAGUCAGGGUCCAGCUGACCUAGAAUUUCUGGUCACCCACUGCUCACUGCUCCCAGAGCCAUCCC